CUUUUCCCCUUCCUCCUUGGGCUAAGCCAGACCAGAAAGGGCCCCGUGCGCAACGUGCUUCACAAUCUCUCAGGGAAAGCGGCUAACGUGGCGCUACUCCGCCUCCCCUGUUCCUUACCCUUGGGGCGGCCGCCAUGUUUCCUGAACACAAAAUGGCGACACGUGAGGAAGACAAACAUAAAGAUGAAGUGCUUAAUUCAAGGUCACACAAUGUCGGGGAUGGACCUCCAGAUUUCCUUACUGGUGAGACGUGGUCUUGUAACACAGUGGUUAAGAAUGUGACUUUGGAGCCAGCCUGCUAGGGGCUGAAUUCUGACUCAGCCAUUUACUAACUGUGUGACCUUAGGUCACAGAAUUUUCCACACUCCUUGACAGAGGUGCUUAACCCUUAUCCAUCAGCAUUCUCAGACAGCACCUCCGGUUAGGGACAGUAUCUGACCGUCCGACAUCCCUGCAGCCCCCAUGUGUCACACAGACUCAGCCUCAGGUAGAUGGUUUCCGUAGAUGGUGGCUUUCUUUGGACCCUUGACAUCAACCAGUUACUAUUUGACUCUUCUGCAGAACCCCAUGUUGACCCCUGCUUUGAGGUGGCAGAGUUAACACUACUCUUCGUUAUAAGCUCUCGUCUGGGGCAACUCAGAAGAACGGGACCAGAUGUGCAGAGGUAAUGAAUACCAGGGAAUCAGGAAACCACUGGAUCAGUUCUUU
rnacentral:lncRNA from 1 species